rnacentral:misc_RNA from 1 species
UCCCAAGCCUUCUGGCGAUCUCUUAAAAUAAAGCCUCGCGUCAUAAUCCCUCCACGUUUUUCAAAGAAAAACAUGCGGUUCAAGGUGCCUUGGAUUUUAAAGACUUUUAAAGACCAUGGAUUUACUCAGAACUUAUGGGUUUUUAAAAAAGGCUUUAAAAGGAAAUAACUAAAAAAGCUUUUCCAGUGAUUUAAGAUGAUACCGGGGAAGGUUUUCCGGUUUAUCCCGGAGGGCUUGUAGCUCAGUUGGUUAGAGCGCGCGCUUGAUAAGCGUGAGGUCGGAGGUUCAAGUCCUCCCAGGCCCACCAAUUUAUGCUCGUUUUUUGCUUAUCCAAGAGUAUAAAGCUUAAGCGUAUUAAAGCCUCUUCAAUCUUUGUUUAUUUUUAAAGAUUUAAUUUUAUCAUUCAGAGAUUGUUCGUUAAAUUUAUCCCAUUAAGCUUCCAAAGAGGCUUUGUCCCUUCAGUGGUACAGAUAAAUUUACAUGAUACAAAUCAAAACAGGACAGAUAAUUCAAGUUGAUGAAUUUGGUUAUGGUUGAUUUGAGAGAGCAUUAUUUAGGGGCCGUAGCUCAGCUGGGAGAGCACCUGCUUUGCAAGCAGG